CAUUAUGUAGCUUAAUAUAAAGCAUUGGUCUCUUAAACCAAAUUAUAGUAAAUUACUCUUAAUGG
rnacentral:tRNA from 1 species